AUGUUUUAAACCUGUUUGAGUAUAUUUAUCAAUAAGACAUUUCAUGACAAACAUAUGAUCUGAAGUACGCUUGCCUUUGCAGAAACCAAUUUGCUCAGGACAAAUGAUAUUUCUCUUAAUUCAAAAUUUUUCUAAUAUUUUAGUAAGAAUUUUUGUAAAUACUUUACUGAGACAACUAGUCACAGUUAGUCCACGAUAAUUUGAUAGAUCAUCCUUUGAAACAUUUUUAAAUAGGGCAGUUAUAAAACCAUUAGCCCAUGUCUGAGGAUAGUUUCCAGUUGAAAGUAUUUUUAUUAAAAACAUGAUUUAAACU
rnacentral:lncRNA from 1 species